rnacentral:rRNA from 1 species
UACGAAGGGGGCUAGCGUUGCUCGGAAUCACUGGGCGUAAAGGGUGCGUAGGCGGGUCUUUAAGUCAGGGGUGAAAUCCUGGAGCUCAACUCCAGAACUGCCUUUGAUACUGAAGAUCUUGAGUUCGGGAGAGGUGAGUGGAACUGCGAGUGUAGAGGUGGAAAUUCGUAGAUAUUCGCAAGAACACCAGUGGCGAAGGCGGCUCACUGGCCCGAUACUGACGCUGAGGCACGAAAGCGUGGGGAGCAAACAGGG